GGGCCGUUAGCUCAGUUGGUAGAGCAGUUGGCUUUUAACCAAUUGGUCGUAGGUUCGAAUCCUACACGGCCCACCA
rnacentral:tRNA from 5 species